GGCGCGCAUCGUGGUGAUUUGGCCGGCCGGCUUGCAGCCACGUUAAACAAUUCGCUAAAGGGCCGUCCCGAACGUAUU
rnacentral:ncRNA from 2 species